rnacentral:rRNA from 1 species
AUUGAACGCUGGCGGCAUGCCUUACACAUGCAAGUCGAACGGCAGCACGGGAGCAAUCCUGGUGGCGAGUGGCGAACGGGUGAGUAAUAUAUCGGAACGUGCCCAGUCGUGGGGGAUAACGUAGCGAAAGCUACGCUAAUACCGCAUACGAUCUACGGAUGAAAGCGGGGGAUCGCAAGACCUCCCGCGAUUGGAGCGGCCGAUAUCAGAUUAGCUCGUUGGUGGGGUAAAGGCCCAACAAGGCGACGAUCUGUAGCUGGUCUGAGAGGACGACCAGCCACACUGGAACUGAGACACGGUCCAGACUCCUACGGGAGGCAGCAGUGGGGAAUUUUGGACAAUGGGCGCAAGCCUGAUCCAGCAAUGCCGCGUGCAGGAUGAAGGCCUUCGGGUUGUAAACUGCUUUUGUACGGAACGAAACGGCUCUUUCUAAUAAUGAGGGCUAAUGACGGUACCGUAAGAAUAAGCACCGGCUAACUACGUGCCAGCCGCCGCGGUAAUAC